rnacentral:rRNA from 1 species
UACGUAGGUGACGAGCGUUAUCCGGAAUUACUGGGCGUAAAGUGUGCGCAGGCGGCCGCGCAAGUCGAGUGUGAAAGCCCCGGGCUUAACUUGGGAAUUGCGCUCGAAACUACGUGGCUGGAGUGUGGCAGAGGGGGGUAGAAUUCCACGUGUAGCAGUGAAAUGCGUAGAUAUGUGGAGGAACACCGAUGGCGAAGGCAGCCCCCUGGGUCAAAACUGACGCUCAUGCACGAAAGCGUGGGGAGCAAACAGG